UACGGAGGGUGCAAGCGUGUCCGGAUUUAUUGGGUUUAAAGGGUGCGUAGGCGGCUUGAUAAGUCCGUGGUGAAAGCCAACAGCUCAACUGUUGAACUGCCAUGGAUACUGUCAGGCUUGAGUACAGACGAGGUAGGCGGAAUGGAUCGUGUAGCGGUGAAAUGCAUAGAUACGAUCCAGAACUCCGAUUGCGAAGGCAGCUUACUAGGCUGUAACUGACGCUGAGGCACGAAAAGCGUGGGGGAGCGAACAGG
rnacentral:rRNA from 1 species